rnacentral:rRNA from 1 species
AACGAACGCUGGCGGCAUGCCUAACACAUGCAAGUCGAACGAGACCUUCGGGUCUAGUGGCGCACGGGUGCGUAACGCGUGGGAACCUGCCCUUAGGUUCGGAAUAACUCCCCGAAAGGGGUGCUAAUACCGGAUAAUGUCUUCGGACCAAAGAUUUAUCGCCCUUGGAUGGGCCCGCGUUGGAUUAGCUAGUUGGUGGGGUAAAAGCCUACCAAGGCGACGAUCCAUAGCUGGUCUGAGAGGAUGAUCAGCCACACUGGGACUGAGACACGGCCCAGACUCCGACGGGAGGCGGCAGGGGGGAAUUGUGGGCAAUGGGCGCAAGCCUGAUCCAGCAAUGCCGCGUGCAGGAAGAAGGCCUUCGGGUUGUAAACGGCUUUUGUACGGAAGGAAACGGCUCUGGUUAAUACCCGGGGCUAAUGACGGUACCGUAAGAAUAAGCACCGGCUAACUACGUG